AGGAACCGUAUGAUAUGGAAGUCUCAUGUACGGUUCUCUGAGAAGGGAGUGGCCACCUACUGGAGCUUCAACCAAGAACCACCGAUCAAUUCUGCUUUGGGGCCACCCCUGACUCUAU
rfam:Capsicum annuum cultivar Zunla-1 chromosome 1, whole genome shotgun sequence